rnacentral:tRNA from 1 species
GGGUUUGUGGCUCAGUGGUAGAGUGCUUGUUUCACAUGUAUGAGGCACUGAGUUCAAUUCUCAGCACCA